rnacentral:rRNA from 1 species
AGAGUUUGAUCAUGGCUCAGAUUGAACGCUGGCGGCAGGCUUAACACAUGCAAGUCGAACGGUAACAUAAAGAAGCUUGCUUCUUUGAUGACGAGUGGCGGACGGGUGAGUAAUGCUUGGGAAUCUAGCUUAUGGAGGGGGAUAACUACGGGAAACUGUAGCUAAUACCGCGUAGUAUCGAGAGAUGAAAGUGCGGGACCGUAAGGCCGCAUGCCAUGAGAUGAGCCCAAGUGGGAUUAGGUAGUUGGUGGGGUAAAGGCCUACCAAGCCUGCGAUCUCUAGCUGGUCUGAGAGGAUGACCAGCCACACUGGAACUGAGACACGGUCCAGACUCCUACGGGAGGCAGCAGUGGGGAAUAUUGCGCAAUGGGGGCAACCCUGACGCAGCCAUGCCGCGUGAAUGAAGAAGGCCUUCGGGUUGUAAAGUUCUUUCGGUAGCGAGGAAGGCAUUUAGUUUAAUAGACUAGGUGAUUGACGUUAACUACAGAAGAAGCACCGGCUAACUCCGUGCCAGCAGCCGCGGUAAUACGGAGGGUGCGAGCGUUAAUCGGAAUAACUGGGCGUAAAGGGCACGCAGGCGGUGACUUAAGUGAGGUGUGAAAGCCCCGGGCUUAACCUGGGAAUUGCAUUUCAUACUGGGUCGCUAGAGUACUUUAGGGAGGGGUAGAAUUCCACGUGUAGCGGUGAAAUGCGUAGAGAUGUGGAGGAAUACCGAAGGCGAAGGCAGCCCCUUGGGAAUGUACUGACGCUCAUGUGCGAAAGCGUGGGGAGCAAACAGGAUUAGAUACCCUGGUAGUCCACGCUGUAAACGAUGUCGAUUUGGGGGUUGAGCUUUAAGUUUGGCGCCCGUAGCUAACGUGAUAAAUCGACCGCCUGGGGAGUACGGCCGCAAGGUUAAAACUCAAAUGAAUUGACG